CCAUGUCUGUCAAGCUCAAAAAGACCAAACAAUUCUUAAAAAAAAAAAUCUGCUAUUGUGUUCUAGUGAAAAAUAACCCCAUACGUGUUUGACAUGAUUAAAAUAAAUGAUAAGUAAAUGAUGAACUGUGAAUUUGAACUGUGCCCUAACCAUUUACACUUUCAGAAAUUCAGAACACUUACUCCCUGAACUUUAAGCGGUGGUGUUCUCCACCAUGUGGACGUGACGUAACCCUGAUGCUAUUUUAAAACAUGUCCGAUUCAAAGCGUCUCUAGUCUCCUUUGAAAAGACACAACAGAGAUGGGAGAGGAAGAGCAGAGGCAAAGAAAGCAGGUGUAGUGUAAAGCUGUAAAAGGAUGUAUUGAUUCUUCUCAUCUGGAUGUCAGUGUGUAAGAAAAUCUGCCGGAUGGAACACACAGUGUGUCAUUGCAGCAGUGGGAUAGGACACAGGAAAAGGAAGAUCCUCUUAAUUGAGAUUGGAUGAAUCGAGUCCUUUGUGAAGGAAGGAGGGCCUCAUCGUGGGAUGGAAUUUCAGCUCUUGGCUCGUCAUCUCUGAAGUGGCCAGAGAUUAUCUGUUUGUUUGGGGUAUUGAUCCGUCACUUGAGCCUGCUUGUUGGAACUGUAUACACGUUCAGAUGGGACUUUCACCGGGGUUAAAUUCAGACCUCCGAGGCCCCGCUGCUUAACUCUGAGCGACAGCAUUUAGAACUUAAUGACAAGCGUCUUAGAGUCCGUACGGGAUGACUAAUUCAACUCGAUGGUCAGUUUUAACUCACAGAAGUGCCCUCUUCACUUCCCUUCUCCAUGUGAGCUGUUCACCCUGUCCAAUUCAUUAGCCACUGUGGG
ensembl:lncRNA